AAGCCACUCUUUACAUCAUAUCAUAUGUAUCAAUGAACAAGGAAGAACACAGCUCAAUCGAAAGCUGUCUUCUCUACCAUCACCAGAUUUUCAGGUCACCUGCUAAACCGCUUGUGCCUGCUGUUUCUGGACGAGUCCAAGGAUUGGGUUAAAAAAUAUAUGGAGCUCAAAAAGAUAAAUACAACUGGAUUGCUUCAAUGGGGAUGUAACAAGAUUGUUGUGCAUGCUCCUUACUGGGGAUACAUACAAGUUGAUACAAGGACUUUUUGGAAAGUGAUGAGGCGCUCCUAGGAUUUCUAAGAAAGAACAAGUUUGAAUCUCAUAUUUAUUUUUGUGAAAAGCGUACAUAUGCUAGCUACGAUCCAUAUUUUGUAAAGUUUCCGAUCGAUGUGAAAUUUAUUAUUUACAAUAGUUUUGUAAAGCCUUUUAUCUAUGUGAAAUUUAUAACUAAGUUUAGAUGUAUGUUAGAUAAUAUUCAUUGGAAUUAUUGACUUAUGCUAUGAGUUU